CCGGCAGCGAGCGCGGGGUUCGGCCGCUCCAAGUUCGGCGGUGCCGUGGCUCGGAGGCGCUUUGGAGGCGUUGAUGGCAUCGCUGGGUUCGGUUUGCAGCGGGUGUCCGCUAAGGGAUAUGGUGUUCUUCCUGAGCGGCACGGUUCUCGGUGCCGGUAGAGAUGAUAAAGGGUACUCACAAAAUAUGUCUCCCUUAGUGUCCCACAGAAACAUUCUGGGUGCAAUCUGAAUUAAGGUAUGUGUUUUCAAAUAAGUAAUCAGUUUAGAUAUUUGCCUGUGUACCUUUUCCUGUAAUUCAGAGCUUGUGUUCUGUGGGUUUUAUGAUAAACCUGUAAAACAUGUAAGAAUGGUUUUGCAAGUCUGAAUCGUUGAAGGCAGCAAUAAGUGGAUUUAAAGCCUGUUCUUGAGCAGACAAAGGGGAAAAGUGUGACUCUGAUGCUGAACUUGUCAUUUUUCAUUUGACUUGCCUUUAAUUAUUGAAGAAGAGAGAGAACUAGGAAAAGAAAUAGAAUUGAUUAUUGAGCACUCCUAAAAAGCUCACCAUGAUUCUGUGUAGAGCCAAAGUGAAGGAUGAUGGAACAGAGCUCUGUGCAUUAGAAGGAAAUAAACCUGAUGUCCACACAGAGUCUUACUAAUUUCUGUUUUUAAAAUGCAAAAUAAGUUUAGGAAGUGUUGGAAGUUAGUAUUUUGGGAAAGAAAUGGCAGUUCCACAAAACAUUCCAUUCCAUUUAAGAGAGGCCCUUGGACUGAUUCAUGUUGUAACUGCUGUCACUGCAAUCAGUUGGUGGUUCAGCCUUGAAACGUGCACUUGGCCUUCUAUAAAGCACUGUUUUGUUUGCCUUUCAGUGCUAUGAGUCUUGAUAAAUUGGAGAAGUGCCCAAGAGAAAUUCAUCAUCCUGAGAUACAAAAGGUAGGAAGUGACUUUUUCUGGUUUGGUUCUUUUUCUUUAUUGUUUUCUGGAAAUAGAAGUAAUUAAGUAUAGAUACUACUGGUUUGUUUCUUCCAGUAGCUGAUAAUACUAAUACCAAUAAUAAUAAUAAUAAUAAUAGUAAAGUAAUACUACUUCAACUGUCUUUAUUUAUCCAUUGAACUGGCCAUUUUAAAUCUAAACUUCUAAACACAAAUCAAACCAUCAUCCUUGUAGAAUCUUUAAUAGGAGUGGGCUAAAGAUCCUGGUUUUGUUGACAGGAUUUAUUGGUUCAUGAACAGCAAGAGGUAAGUACAAGCCUAACUACCCUCUAGCUCACAGACCUGCCCGGUGAAUAGAGCUUUGUUUUUUUGAUGGGCUUGUGAUGACUUUGAGAUCAAUUGCUCAUUCAUUACAGUAAAAAAAAAAAAAUUGUUUUGAACAUGACAGCAAAAAUAACUUUAAGCACAACUUAAUAAUAAUAAUAGAUCACCAAUUUUAGUUAAUAAUUUUAUGCUAUACUCUUGGGUGAGGGAAGACUCGGACACUCAAUAUGAGAUCAGCAAGCUAUGUUUAUUGCAGAGAGUAUCAGACACUUAUACAGCACAUAAUAAGCUUAUGAAUAUUCUGUAAGCCAAGCGAUCUAUUGGUUAAACUAUACCAUCAACUCUUCCUCAUUCCUUUGGGCCUACAUUCCCUAUUUCCCACGUCUCUCUGUCUACUUGUUAUCCUACCCAGCUAGGCCCAGGCACACGCUAUCUUGCAGGUGCAAAACUCAAAAAUACCUGUGUUCGGUACUUUCCCAGCUCCUGGUCGGCUAACGAGCGAAUGUCUGCGUGACCUCUGUCAUGGAGCCAUUUCUCCACACUAUACUAUCAAAGUUUAAAGGUAAAUUAUUAUAUAUUAGGAGAUGGUGUAAAGUGUAUGUUGUAAUGUGUAGGAUAUAUACAAAGAUACGUACUUGAAAGUCCGUAGAGGAAACAAAUUUUUACGCCUUCUGUUUGACUGUUUGUCAUAUAUUUGGUUUUAUUUCCCAGGGAUCAGUGAAUUUUAACUCUGGAGUCCUCUAUGCUAAGGAUGCUCAGCUUAGAGAUGAUGAAAUGUUCAGUAAUGGUGAGUUUUUCACCUUCUCCUUCAUUGUUUUGCUCAUCUGAAUAAAAAAAAAAAAAAAAAGGCAAGAUUAAAGAAAAAGCAAUAGUUUUAUUAUUUUUACCCUGUUAUGUCUGUUUCCUCAGUAUUUGCUGCAGCUCUGCUUACCCAAGGUUUGGGUAAAACAAGCUUUGGGUUCCCUCUGUCUCACUGGGAGUUGCCCAAUUCAGUUGCAUCUGGUGAAAUUCACCCUGAGACCUUACAGAACCAGCUCCAACUACGUGAGAGCCAUUUGCAGUUCUCUCCAGACACCUGGAGAAUGGGCGACAUUUCUGAGAAUCCGGCGAGCGUGCUUCUAUCAAAACUCAGUCUGUGAAAUUCCUGGGGAAAACCCUUCUGUGUCCUGAAGGGUUCAAACUCUGGUGAGGAUCCAGUUAUCAGGUGCUCACCUGGAUGGUUCCAGCUCUUAAAGUGAACACUUGUACUCUUGCCCUGUAGUUUACAUCUAUUGUAUUUUUGUUAUUUUGCAGGAUUUUUUGUCUUUGCAAAAUAUUGUGCAUUUCACUCUUUGGAACCUCUCAGAUGGUUCUUUGGUGCAGCACCACCCCAGGGGACACUUGCCUGCUGUCCUGAAGGGGUUGGUGGCUAGAAUUGUGAAUCCUGGAGAGUUUAUAAGUCUUCUGUCCCCAGGGAGGUGUCGUGCUUUGUUUACUUUUGUUCUGUUGGUUAGGCGCUGCUUCUCGUUGCAAGUACGAAUUUCAAACUGCCCUGUUCUUAUUUUAACUGUUUUCCUGGUUCUCUCCCUACGGCAGGGAAAGACUCUCGUAUCCUUGUCAUCGGGCUCGGUGCUGUCCAAGAAGAUACAGAGACUAAAAAAAUCAUAAGAAGCAAAAUAUGACUGCAGGGAAAAGAAGCUGGAGAGAACAGAAGAGCCCUGUUGUACUAAUCAUCAUACAAGUACAAAACAAAAAAUCAGACCCUGUCCCAAGCACUUAGAGGCCAGAACACGAUUUCCUCGGGCUGCCGUUUGUGUGCCAUCGGUACUCACCACGAAUUGAGCCCUCUGGCUCUGACAGAGCCCCUGGAUGCUGACGGAAGGGGGCUGGUCACAGACCCUGGAGGUGCCUGUCCCCCAGGGAGGGAGAGGACGAGGCAGUGUGGCCUGCAGGGAGGGUGUCGUCCCCAGAGAGCAGCCGGCGACUCCAUGCCUGCCCGGGGCUGCGGGUGCCCCCUCGGGGUGGACGCCUGCCCUCAGGUUUCCCUCUGGGCACCCGGGGAGGGAACCAGGUCCAUCCGUGUGGCAGCUGCAGGGCCUGCAGGCUCUGGGCCCUGGAGCCGAGUGAGCCUGAGCUGCUGCAUGCUUGCUGUGAGCUUUGGGGUGAGCGUGCAUCACUGCAGGCCUGGGAUGGAUUGAAAUGCGCUGAGGAAAGCAGAGGGAGGGAGGGAAAUGCUCUGUUAACAUGUGCCAAUUCUUCUGUCAGACUCAUCACGGCGGGACAGCGUGAGGACUGAAAGUGUAAGAAGAUGUGGAGGGAAACAGAGAAUCUGACAGGAGCAUCGGAGGGACGAGUGCAGGAAUUUUGCUUUUUGCUUGGAUGUAAACUCAGGAGUUGAGAGGAAUUUGGGAGUGAGAAGGGACAUCUCAGAAGGAGAAGAAGAAAAAGAGGUUGUUGUUGUUGUUACAGUCCUGGCAAAAUCUUUUGUUCUAGCUAAUAAAAGAAGUUAGUUUAAAAAACAAAAAGGAAAAAAUGUAGUGUUUUUUUUUUCCUUCACUAUGAUAUUCAUUGGUGGUAUAUGGUGUGUUGUUUCAUUUCUUGGUAUUAUUAACUCUGUGUAAAUUGUUUUUUGAGUGAAGCUGACUUUCUGGAUGGGUUGGUUUGUAUUUGAGGCAGGAUUAAUUUCAGUAGGGUUCUUUCAUAGAUUUCUGAUGGGUAUUACUGGGAUUUUGGUUUUGUUUACUGUAUGUAUGAACCUAGAGCUUUGGUAGGGCCAGCUGGGCUGCUGGAGUUUUGGGUGUGAAUUUAUUAGAUGGCUUUUGUUAGAUGCAGUUUUUAAUUUUUGAAAUGUUUUUCAAUGUAGUGGUUUUAAGGUGGUUUUUAAGAAUUCAUUGUAUUGCUUUAUCUUGUUUGUAGUUGGUGUAUGAUAAGGGAUGUGGUGUGAGUUCUUGAACAUUAUGGUUUUGGUGUUCCUAAGUUCUGAUUUCUUUGUGGUUCAAUAGCUUUUUUUAUUUUUAUUUUUUGGGACAGGGGCAUUUAUAUGGUGGGUUUUUAUAGGCAAUAUGUUUUUUAAUUUAGGUAGUGAUAUUUUUUAAUAUUUUAAUAGUUUAGGUUUUUUAUUUUCAUGGUUUUAAUUAUUUUUUUUAAUUUUUUGAAAUAACUUUUAUAGAUUACAUGUUAUUAUUUGUGCAUUAACAUAAAGGUAGAGCUUUGGGGACUUUUUUUAGUAAUGUUUAGGGUCAGUUGUGCAGUUUUGAGUCUAGUGCGUUGGUUUGAUUUAAUUUUUAAUGGGUGUUUGUUUUUAUUAGCAGUUGUGUCAUUUUCAAGGUGUGUUUGAGUUUUUUGGGGUUUUUGAGAUACUGGUUUAGGAGGAAGUUUAUGAUGAGCAUGUGCGGAGGUUUUGGGCUACUUUAUAGUGGGAUUUAAAAUUUAUUUACAGUUAGGUUUAUUUGAGUUUUUAUUAGGGUUCAGUGACGUUGUGGGAUAUUUGUUCCGUUAGUAACAGAAAUAGGUUUUGUUUUGCUGUGCUGCGAUGGGAUGGGCGUGUGCUGCGUGCCGGUGCUGACAAAGGUACAGUAUUGUUGUGGCUCUGGUGCGUCGGGUUAAUGAACUGACAUGGUUUAAUGUAGAGAUGAAAAUAGAAAUAAAUAUACAUUUAAAAAUAAAUAUAACAUUAGAGUGGUAAACAUAAAUAUAGAUAACAGAUACAUACAUAAAACUAUAAUAUAUGGUAUAUAAUUGUAACAUGUUAUCAUAUAGAUAAAUGAUAGUCUAUUUUAUAUAUAUAUACACAAAGAUAUAUAAAUAUAGAUUGUAAAUAUAAAAAUAUUUAAAUAGAGUUAAAGUAAAUUGGGCAGUUUUAUUAGGGUAUAGGCUGGGGUUUUUAAA